AUUGAACGCUAGCGGGAUGCCUUACACAUGCAAGUCGAACGGAUUGGCGAACGGGUGCGUAAUGUAUCUGAACGUGCCCCGUCGCGGGGGAUAACUACGCGAACGCGUAGCUAUUACCACAUACUCUUGGAGCCGGCGCUGUCGGAGUAGCUAGAUGGUGGGGUAACGGCUCACCAAGGCGACGAUCCGUAGCUGGUUUGAGAGGACGACCAGCCACACUGGGACUGAGACACGGCCCAGACUCCUACGGGAGGCAGCAGUGGGGAAUUUUGGACAAUGGGGGAAAGCCUGAUGCAGCCAUGCCGCGUGUGCGAUGAAGGCCUUCGGGUUGUAAAGCACUUUUGGCAGGAAAGCGGUACCUGCAGAAUAAGCACCGGCUAACUACGUGCCAGCAGCCGCGGUAAUAC
rnacentral:rRNA from 1 species